rnacentral:rRNA from 1 species
UGAGUUUGAUCAUGGCUCAGGAUGAACGCUGGCGACAUGCCUAACACAUGCAAGUCGAACGAUUGAUUUGGACGUGUUCAAAUCAAAAAGUGGCGAACGGGUGAGUAAUACGUAAGAACCAACCCUUUGGUCAAGAAUAACUCUCGGAAACGAUGGCUAAAACUCGAUAAAGGGUCUUGAUGGCCAAAAAAUCUUCAAGAUGCCAAAGGACGGGCUUGCGUCUGAUUAGCUUGUUGGUGAGAUAACGGCUUACCAAGGCAAUGAUCAGUAGCUGGUCUGAGAGGAUGAUCAGCCACACUGGGACUGAGGCACGGCCCNNNCCUCUACGGAGGGCNGCAGUGAGGAAUUUUCCGCAAUGGGCGAAAGCCUGACGGAGCAAUGUCGCGUGGAGGAAUGANNGCUCUUGGGUUGUAAACUCCUUUUCUCAGAAAAGAAAAAAAUGACGGUAUUUGAGGAAUAAGCAUCGGCUAAACUCUGUGC